rnacentral:rRNA from 1 species
GACGAACCGAGCGAACGUUGUUCGGAAUCACUGGGCUUAAAGGGCGCGUAGGCGGGCGAUCAAGUCAGGGGUGAAAUCCUCCGGCUCAACCGGAGAACUGCCUUUGAUACUGGUCAUCUCGAGUGAGGUAGGGGCAUGCGGAACUGAUGGUGGAGCGGUGAAAUGUGUUGAUAUCAUCAGGAACGCCGGUGGCGAAAGCGGCGUGCUGGACCGUGACUGACGCUGAGGCGCGAAAGCCAGGGGAGCGAACGGG